rnacentral:rRNA from 1 species
UACGCGUAAAGAACUUACCUCACAGAUAGGGACAACAUUUGGAAACGGAUGCUAAUACCUGAUAUUAUGAUUUUAGGGCAUCCUAGAAUUAUGAAAGCUAUAUGCGCUGUGAGAGAGCUUUGCGUCCCAUUAGCUAGUUGGAGAGGUAACGGCUCACCAAGGCGAUGAUGGGUAGCCGGCCUGAGAGGGUGAUCGGCCACAAGGGGACUGAGACACGGCCCUUACUCCUACGGGAGGCAGCAGUAGGGAAUCUUCCGCAAUGGACGCAAGUCUGACGGAGCAACGCCGCGUGAGUGAAGAAGGUUUUCGGAUCGUAAAACUCUGUUGUUAGAGAAGAACAAGUGCUAGAGUAACUGUUAGCGCCUUGACGGUAUCUAACCAGAAAGCCACGGCUAACUACGUGCCAGCAGCCGCGGUAAUACGUAGGUGGCAAGCGUUGUCCGGAUUUAUUGGGCGUAAAGCGAGCGCAGGCGGUUCCUUAAGUCUGAUGUGAAAGCCCCCGGCUCAACCGGGGAGGGUCAUUGGAAACUGGGGAACUUGAAUGCAGAAGAGGAGAGUGGAAUUCC